rnacentral:rRNA from 1 species
AACGUAGGAGACGAACGUUAUCCGGAGUUACUGGGCGUAAAGGGCGCGUAGGCGGCCUACUAAGUCGGACGUGAAAUCCCUCGGCUCAACCGAGGAACUGCGUCCGAUACUGGUGGGCUUGAAUCCGGGAGAGGGAUGUGGAAUUCCGGUGUAGUGGUGAAAUGCGUAGAUAUCGGGAGGAACACAGUGGCGAAGGCGACUUCCUGGCCUGUUCUUGACGCUGAGGCGCGAAAGCUAGGGGAGCAAACGGG